rnacentral:rRNA from 1 species
GAUGAACGCUGGCGGCGUGCCUAAUACAUGCAAGUCGAGCGAACAGACGAGGAGCUUGCUCCUCUGACGUUAGUGGCGGACGGGUGAGUAACACGUGGAUAACCUACCUAUAAGACUGGGAUAACUUCGGGAAACCGGAGCUAAUACCGGAUAAUAUAUUGAACCGCAUGGUUCAAUAGUGAAAGACGGUUUUGCUGUCACUUAUAGAUGGAUCCGCGCCGCAUUAGCUAGUUGGUAAGGUAACGGCUUACCAAGGCAACGAUGCGUAGCCGACCUGAGAGGGUGAUCGGCCACACUGGAACUGAGACACGGUCCAGACUCCUACGGGAGGCAGCAGUAGGGAAUCUUCCGCGAUGGGCGAAAGCUUGACGGAGCAACGCCGCGUGAGUGAUGAAGGUCUUCGGAUCGUAAAACUCUGUUAUUAGGGAAGAACAAAUGUGUAAGUAACUAUGCACGUCUUGACGGUACCUAAUCAGAAAGCCACGGCUAACUACG